rnacentral:rRNA from 1 species
GACGAACGCUGGCGGCGUGCUUAACACAUGCAAGUCGAACGAAGUGGCGAACGGGUGAGUAACGCGUAAUCAACCUGCCCUUCAGAGGGGGACAACAGGUGGAAACGACUGAUAAUACAGCAUACUGAAGGAGGGGAUUGCGUCGGAUUAGCUAGUUGGAGGGGUAACGGCCCACCAAGGCGAUGAUCAGUAGGCGGGCUGGGAGGGUGAACGGCCACAUUGGGACUGUGACACGGCCCAGAAUCCUACGGGGGGCAGGAAUGGGGAAUCUUCCGCAAUGGACGAAAGUCUUACUGAGCCACGCCGCGUGGGUGAUGGCGGCCUUCGGGUUGUAAAGCUCUGUUAAUCGGGACGCGGUACCGGAAUAGAAAGCCACGGCUAACUACGUGCCAGCCGCCGCGGUAAUAC